AACGAACGCUGGCGGCAUGCCUAACACAUGCAAGUCGAACGAAACCUUCGGGUCUAGUGGCGCACGGGUGCGUAACGCGUGGGAACCUGCCCUUAGGUUCGGCAUAACUCCCCGAAAGGGGUGCUAAUACCGGAUAAUGUCUUCGGACCAAAGAUUUAUCGCCUUUGGAUGGGCCCGCGUUGGAUUAGCUUGUUGGUAGGGUAAAAGCCUACCAAGGCGACGAUCCAUAGCUGGUCUGAGAGGAUGAUCAGCCACACUGGGACUGAGACACGGCCGAGACUCCUACGGGAGGCAGCAGUGGGGAAUAUUGGAAAAUGGGCGGAAGCAUGAUCCAGCAAUGCCGCGUGAGUGAUGAAGGCCUUAGGGUUGUAAAGCUCUUUUAACCGGGAUGAUAAUGACAGUACCGGGAGAAUAAGCUCCGGCUAACUACGCG
rnacentral:rRNA from 1 species